UACAGAGGGUGCGAGCGUUACUCGGAAUUACUGGGCGUAAAGCGCACGUAGGUGGCGACGUAAGUCGGGUGUGAAAGCCCCGGGCUCAACCUGGGAAUUGCAUUCGAGACUGCAUUGCUGGAGUACGGAAGAGGAAGGCGGAAUUCCCGGUGUAGCGGUGAAAUGCGUAGAUAUCGGGAAGAACAUCAGUGGCGAAGGCGGUCUGCUGGGCCGUUGCUGACGCUGAGGCGCGAAAGCGUGGGGAGCAAACAGG
rnacentral:rRNA from 1 species